rnacentral:rRNA from 1 species
GAGUUUGAUCCUGGCUCAGGAUGAACGCUGGCGGCGUGCCUAAUACAUGCAAGUCGAGCGAACAGAUAAGGAGCUUGCUCCUUUGACGUUAGCGGCGGACGGGUGAGUAACACGUGGGUAACCUACCUAUAAGACUGGAAUAACUCCGGGAAACCGGGGCUAAUGCCGGAUAAUAUUUAGAACCGCAUGGUUCUAAAGUGAAAGAUGGUUUUGCUAUCACUUAUAGAUGGACCCGCGCCGUAUUAGCUAGUUGGUGGGGUAAUGGCUUACCAAGGCAACGAUACGUAGCCGACCUGAGAGGGUGAUCGGCCACACUGGAACUGAGACACGGUCCAGACUCCUACGGGAGGCAGCAGUAGGGAAUCUUCCGCAAUGGGCGAAAGCCUGACGGAGCAACGCCGCGUGAGUGAUGAAGGUCUUCGGAUCGUAAAACUCUGUUAUUAGGGAAGAACAAAUGUGUAAGUAACUGUGCACGUCUUGACGGUACCUAAUCAGAAAGCCACGGC